GACAUAGGUGGCGAGCGUUAUCCGGAUCUAUUGGGCGUAAAGGAUGCGUAGAUGGCAGAACAGGUUACUGGUCGAAGUUGGGCUUAACCAAAUGGAAGCUAAUGAUACUAUUCUACUCGAGGACGGAAGAGACUCUAUGUGUAAGGCCAGUAAGGGUGAAAUCCAUUGGGGACCACCAAAAGGGCGAAGGCAGCUAACUAUUCUGCUCCUGAUAUUGAGGCAUGAAAGCGUGGGUAGCAAAACGG
rnacentral:rRNA from 1 species